rnacentral:rRNA from 1 species
UACGACUACAUAUCAGGCAUAUCAAUAAGCGGAGGAAAAGAAACUAACUAGGAUUCCCUUAGUAACGGCGAGUGAAGCGGGAAGAGCUCAAAUUUGAAAUCUUCAAGGUUCUACCUUGACGAAUUGUAGUUUAUAGAAGUGUUUUCUGUUAGUGGAGUGGCAAAAGUUCUUUGGAAUAGGACAUCAUAGAGGGUGAGAAUCCCGUAUUUGACCAUUACUUCCAGCGUUGUGAUACACUUUCAAAGAGUCGGAUUGUUUGGGAAUGCAGUCCAAAAUGGGUGGUAAAUUUCAUCUAAAGCUAAAUAUUGGCGAGAGACCGAUAGCGAACAAGUACCGUGAGGGAAAGAUGAAAAGAACUUUGAAAAGAGAGUUAAACAGUAUGUGAAAUUGUCAAAAGGGAAGCGUUUGACACCAGUGUUGUUUUCUCGAAAAUCAAUUAAAAAGUGACCGGAUUUUGUAUUGUAAUUGACCUUUAUCAGCUUUACGGCUACUUUUUUCUUAUUCUUUUUAAUGCACUUUUCGUUUAACAAGUCAACAUCAAUUUCUUUUGUUGUAAAAGAGUCAUUGGAAGGUGGCUUUCACUUUCGGAUGAAAGUGUUUAUAGCCUUUGACUCCUGCAAUCGGAGAGACUGAGGUCUGCAGCGUAGAUCCUUCUUGGAUUAGAUUCAUUUGUGCUAAGUUAUAGCUUUUCAUAGACAACUUGUUGACUAUGUUUAGUCUUGUAGCUUACUCGCUUAUGUAAUUUUACCUACGCUUAGGAUGUUGAAUCUGUGCGAGACUA